rnacentral:lncRNA from 1 species
GGCCUUGCAAAAUCGAUAGAAAGGAAUGUGAAAAAGAAGUGACCUCAGAGGCAGGGUUACAGCACAGGUGCCUGCUGAGAGGACAGCAGAGCUCUUCCCUGGUGCAUGUGGUAGUCUUGGAACUGGAAUAAAUGCCAGAAUUAUUUCAUACCACAACACCCAAAACCCAUAUCAACUGCCAUCAUCAAACAGAGAAAAAGACCCUAAGAAACUUGGUGAGUGAUAACAUAACAGAACAGAAAACAAAUUUCCUGAACACAGAAAAUGAAGUCUCCCUGAAGGAAGGCAAAAGACAAAAAAGAGAGACUAAAAUGUAAGUUGUUAUAUCUUUAUGCCUGAUGUUAUAACAUUGGAAGCCUAUACAUUAUGUGCAACCACCUGCCUUUAUUAUAUCACACAUUUUGAGUAUUCAGGAGCUCUUAGAUCAUUCAAUAAAUAUUAAUGUGAGCUUAGCAAUUGUGAAUUUAGGUUUUGGAAAUAUUUUCAGUCAUUUUAAAAGCUUCAAGUCUCUCUUUCUUUCCUUCCUCCUUUCUCUCCCUCCCCUUCUUAGUUAUGUGUACAUGUAUUAACUAUAGAGCUGCUUUGUGUCAUGUGGAGUGCUGCUCUUAAGGAUAUCAAUGUGCUUAGAGUAUUUUCCCUGCCCUAGAAGGAUGCAGAAGCUAGAGAUGGUAAUGAGGUAGAGGCUGUAAUAAAUGGAUAAAUAGGAUGUUAUAGGGGCAAGAAAAAGAAAGUAACGGUGUUUAGGGAGGUCAGGAAAGGAUUCACAGAAAAGGUGGCAUUUGAGUUGAGUUUACUGUGUGUGAAAGGUAGGGUAAGAACUUCUAUGUAGAGAAAAUAGCUUGUGCUAAAGCACAAAGACGAGAAAUAGCCUCAUGCAUCUUGAACCUCAAAUGAUUCAAAGUAGCUCAUACAGAGGAUAUUUGUGGCAAGGUGAGAUUACAUAGAUAGGCAAGAGCCUGACCAUGGUGGUCUUUACAGGCAAUAGCCAAGGAGUUUGUGGUGUGUUCUAAGUGGACUUUAAAUAGGCAGAUUUUAGAAAGAAG